UACGUAGGGGUGCAAGCGUUUAAUCGGAAUUACUGGGCGUAAAGCGUGCGCAGGCGGCUUUGCAAGACAGAUGUGAAAUCCCCCGGGCUUAACCUGGGAACUGCAUUUGUAACUGACAUGGCUGGAGUGCGGCAGAGGGGGAUGGAAUUCCGCGUCGUAGCAGUGAAAUGCGUAGAUAUGCGGAGGAACACCGAUGGCGAAGGCAAUCCCCUGG
rnacentral:rRNA from 1 species